CCAAGGUCGCCAUGACAUCGCCUACAAGCGUGACUGGGGAUUUCUAUUGGAGCAGUUUUAUCCUGUCUUUGACUUUGUGGCUGUAGUGACGACCCAUCUCUGCUGAUCAAGUCUGCCAAUCACGUUCUCCUUAUCGAAGGUAUUAAACACACACCGAGGGAAAGGGUUCUCCAUCCGACAAACUGCUAACGUUAUCAGCUCUCCUGUCCAGCUCCCCACCAAGCAUGGGCUGAUUCAGUCACCUGUGAGGAGAACCAUCCUACAGCAGUUUCAACUAGACCUGCUGUCCCUAUUUAGACAUUGAGACCACAUAUGCAUUUUCCUGUUGUCUUUUUUUGUGUGGAUUGUCUUAGUCUAGUGCAUUUUAGAGUUGAAGAACACCAACUACAGAUACACAUCCUGGUUUGAGCAUCUCAAAGACUAUAUUCAAUGUAGAGUCAGUUUAACAGGUAACAAACAUAUAACAAACACAUUGUCCCCAUCAGGAGCACAGGCUUUUGCCAUAGAUGGUAGAGUUCUUGUCUCUGGACCACACAAGCAUUCUGCUAAGGCACUUGUCUCUCUUUACAUUGGUCAGCUACAUUGGUGACCAGGGUGGGAUCCUUUCAAUACGACUAUGGGGCCGGGGUACACACACUCCUAGAAGAGGAGAAAUACUGAAGCAUGUGUUAUGACAGUUUUACAGUCUCCAUCAGAGGCCCAGGCUUUUGGCAUAGAUUGUAAAGCUCUCAUUUCUGGACUGCAGCAUUGUAAGAUUGUGCCCUCCACUGCACUUGAUAUACAUUGAUUGUUAGGUUACACUAUAUUCAGAUACUAAAAAUACUACCUGAGAGACACCUUUGCUAUUUGUCUCUGUACUCAAAUGGUGAAUCACUAUUUGUGAUGAUGUUCUUUGUUUGAAUGUAUGUGCAUGGAUUGUACAUUAUGGAAAACAUGUCUCACACUCAGUCAUAGUUAGUAGGUUAUGUGUCGCUCAGUUGGUAGAGCAUGGAGCUUGCAACGCCAGGGUUGUGGGUUCAAUUCCCACGGGGGGCCAGUUCAGAUUAAAAAAGAAUGUAUUGUAUGCACUCACUACUGUAAGUUGCUCUGGAUAAGAGCAAAAUAAAUUGGCAAGAUUUUGGCACCGUCCACUUUUAGGUUAGUAGGAAAGUUAAUCAUUUAAACCACCUAAAUAUACUCAUUCACUGAAUAUUUAGUAUUUGAAACUCAAACAAUAAUUUCACAACUGCUAUUUCUAUAAUGCCACUGGCUGUUUAUCAUUAUCCAUACCUUAUAUUCCAAUGACUCCAACAUUAUGCAUGCCCACCAUGGUAUUGGGCAGCUGCUUUCUGAGAACUCAUCUGGUUCUCGUUGCAGAGCAUAUGAUUUUUAUUUUAGAGAAGAUCGUAUUGCAAGGUAUGCAAUAUAUAUUGGCUAAUAUGCAUAUGCAGCUCUAUUCUAGCAUACGACACACACCUUUAUAUCUACAUGCUUUAAUUCGGGUUUUUGUGCAAAUUAUAUGGUUGAAUGUUACUUUAAGCCUGCAGCUAGUUACUUGAAAUACGACGAUCAUGCCAAAACAUGAUUCAACAUCGGAUUCAUUGACAGAGAUAACUAAUGAAACACUAGUUUCCUGAGCAGGCACAUUACGUUUAACUUACAGUAUUACCUCGUUAAGCUUGUUAACUUUAACUUUUGGCUAGCUUUCAAUAAAUUGGCUAAAUGGUAAACGGA